rfam:Nematostella vectensis strain CH2 x CH6 NEMVEscaffold_740_Cont32435, whole genome shotgun sequence.
GCGUCGUUAGCGCAAUAGGCAGCGCGUCAGUCUCAUAAUCAAAUCUAGAAAUCUGAAGGUCGUGAGUUCGAUCCUCACACGGGGCA